rnacentral:rRNA from 1 species
CACGUAGGGGCCAAGCGUUGUCCGGAUUUAUUGGGCGUAAAGCGCACGUAGGCGGUUUGUUAAGUCGGAUGUGAAAUCCCUCGGCUCAACUGAGGAAGUGCAUCCGAAACUGGCAAGCUUGAGUACGAAAGAGGAUCGCGGAAUUCCCGGUGUAGAGGUGAAAUUCGUAGAUAUCGGGAGGAACACCGGUGGCGAAGGCGGCGAUCUGGGUCGAUACUGACGCUGAGGUGCGAAAGCGUGGGGAGCAAACAGG